rnacentral:rRNA from 1 species
GAUGAACGCUGGCGGCGUGCCUAAUACAUGCGAGUCGAGCGAACGGACGAGAAGCUUGCUUCUCUGAUGUUAGCGGCGGACGGGUGAGUAACACGUGGAUAACCUACCUAUAAGACUGGGAUAACUUCGGGAAACCGGAGCUAAUACCGGAUAAUAUUUUGAACCGCAUGGUUCAAAAGUGAAAGACGGUCUUGCUGUCACUUAUAGAUGGAUCCGCGCUGCAUUAGCUAGUUGGUAAGGUAACGGCUUACCAAGGCAACGAUGCAUAGCCGACCUGAGAGGGUGAUCGGCCACACUGGAACUGAGACACGGUCCAGACUCCUACGGGAGGCAGCAGUAGGGAAUCUUCCGCAAUGGGCGAAAGCCUGACGGAGCAACGCCGCGUGAGUGAUAAAGGUCUUCGGAUCGUAAAACUCUGUUAUUAGGGAAGAACAUAUGUGUAAGUAACUGUGCACAUCUUGACGGUACCUAAUCAGAAAGCCACGGCUAACUACGUG